GCCAGUUGGACCACUCUCAGUUCGCGGACAUUGAUGUGAAGCUCCAGCUCCUGAAAGGACCAAAGGCCCUGGGUGCGAAGGUGCCCUAAGUGAGCACCCCAGCCGAGAGAGGAAGCGUCUGUUGUCAGAGACACCGAGGGCUGUGCCGGAUGGAACGGACGACCGGCACACACCAGGGAGGGCGCCGAGCACUUGUGACGAGAUCGUG